UUGGGGUAAAAUAGUGAGAAGCCGACAUGGGGAAGUGAUCGACCCUUGGGAUAAGUUUAAUUAUGCUUUUUUUAACUCCAUAAACUUUUUACCGUGGGUAAAAAGAACUUCUUGGGGUAAAAAAAAAUAGGAUUUAAAUUUAGCCCAAAUGUUGAUGAUGUAUUUUUUUCAAGAAGGCUGCUCACUAUUUUACCCCAC
rnacentral:pre_miRNA from 1 species